GUUAAAAUUAUUUCAUCAAGUUUGAAAGGUUUUGAAGUCUAAGGUUUUUUAGUCUAAUUAGUUAAAAUUAUUUCAUCAAGUUUGAAAGGUGUUGAAGUCUAAGGUCUUAAAGUCUAAUUUAAUUUCACCACCUACAUGUAAGAAAAAGCUUAGUAAAUGCAAGGGAAGAAGUCAUGAAAUUGAACAGAGUCAAUAAGGGGCAAUUUAGGCAAUUAACAAUUUUUUAAUGGAAAAAGUCCUUGAAAUGAUUUAUGGGGAAUCUGUUGCCCCAAACAAACCUCAUGGAGUGUCUCUUGUAGUUUUUAAAACUAGGUGUUUGUAUUUGUGACUUACUCCAAGAGAGAUCUUUGGUACGUGGAAUUUGUUGGGUUAAAUAUUUCAAUUGCCAUUGAACUUUUCCAUUUGUUUUCCAAUUGCCAUUGAACUAAAAAAUUUCUGAGUUGCAGCUGAACUUUUCCAAAUGUUUUCUAGUUGCCAUUGAACUUUUUAAAAGUUAGGCCAAUGCCCUGAGUACCUGGCAAUUAUCAUACAGGAGUCUUACAGACCCCUCACUGUAGAUGGCAGGUGGGUCCCAUUGAUCUGCAUAAAAAAAUAAAAAAUAAAAAUUGCUGGCCCCACCCUUUGUGUGUGUUCUGGCAUAGGCCUGUGAUCCUGCCUAUACGUGAAUCACGGCUCUAAAAGUUACUCGAGUUUUCAUAUAACUUACCAAAAUGUUAUUCCAUCCAUGACUUUAUUGCUUGUAAUUUUGAAAGUUACGGACUAGAUGACAUGGUACAUAGAAUGACAGAUGAAAUAAAAUUUUUGGUUAGUUCAUCGAAGUUCAAUAAUUUUUAAAACAAGGACUGAUUGAUGUGAUAACAUUUUAUUAAGUUUUAGUGGUAACUUGGAGAAACAUUUGGGGGAAGUGGAAAGAAAUUUUAUAGUUCAGUGGUAAUUAAGAAACUUUCAGAAAAGUUCUGCGGCAGUCGAGAUAUUUAACCCAAAUUUGUUUAGAAAGAUGAACUAAGUUACCAUGUAGCAAAAUUGUUGGUAUCAUUGGUUGUGCCACAAAUAUUCUGGAGAAGAAACUUCCUCAUUUUUGCUUAUGUUCCAUACUGUCUGGUUUCUAAUUGGUUCGGAUAUGGAUGCGACUACUGCAGGAAGUAGGAUCUUCCGUCAUUGAACUGGACUGGUUCGUUUUGCAUUCCCUUGUGAUACCUCAAGUUGAGUGCUAUGCAUAAUGGCUGCUCAUUCAGGGAGCUCUCGCGAAUCUUCUCCUGCUUGUUACUAUUUAUGUUACUCGUUUUCAGUUUGGAACUCUGUAAUUUAGCAUAGUAUUUGGAAGGGGGAUUUUGGUAGCCAACUUUACAUCAAAUAAAAACCAAGAAUAUGUAUUUCAUUUUAUUUGCUUUUGCUGUUGUGUAAUUCUUUUUCCUCCUCGAUGAUGGUCUUAAGAAUAUUAAAUGUACCUAGCCUUAACCAUUUUAUUUUGGUUGCUGACUAAAACUGAAGCAUAUCUCACUUAAUUGGUCCUGGGCAUCACAUUGAUUAGAC
rnacentral:lncRNA from 1 species